rnacentral:rRNA from 1 species
UACGGGGGGGGCUAGCGUUGUUCGGAAUUACUGGGCGUAAAGGGCGCGUAGGCGGCCUACUAAGUCAGACGUGAAAUCCCUCGGCUCAACCGGGGAACUGCGUCCGAUACUGGUGGGCUCGAAUCCGGGAGAGGGAUGUGGAAUUCCAGGUGUAGCGGUGAAAUGCGUAGAUAUCUGGAGGAACACCGGUGGCGAAGGCGGCAUCCUGGACCGGUAUUGACGCUGAUGCGCGAAAGCCAGGGGAGCAAACGGG